CAAUAGCGUAUAUUAAAGUUGUUGCAGUUAAAAAGCUCGUAGUUGGAUUUGUGGCGUACGGUGGGUUCCGGGCACUUGUUGUCUGAGUAACUUGCUGUUGCCAUCCUUGGGUGGAACCUGUGUGGCAUUAGGUUGUCGUGCAGGGGAUGCCCAUCAUUUACUGUGAAAAAAUUAGAGUGUUCAAAGCAGGCUUAUGCCGUUGCAUAUAUUAGCAUGGAAUAAUGAGAUAGGACUUUUUUGCUAUUUUGUUGGUUUGCGCAAAGAGGUAAUGAUUAAUAGGGACAGUUGGGGGUAUUCGUAUUCCAUUGUCAGAGGUGAAAUUCUUGGAUUUUUGGAAGACGAACUACUGCGAAAGCAUUUACCAAGGAUGUUUUCAUUAA
rnacentral:rRNA from 1 species